CGAACCCAACUUCCGAGUGGCACGCCUACCGGCCGAACAUCGGAGUGACCCGCCUGUGCGCAGCUUGAUCUGCCUACCACGCGUCGGCCUUGGUCAUCAUCUCACCGGCCUCGCCUUUCAUCUCUACCACCUGGAAAGCCGGCGUGGCCGACGGAGCAUAGACGACUGACUGUUCAAGGAACUGAAGCAGUGGACAGCUUGCUGUGAAAGAUGGGAGCAUUCUUCCUCUGGUCUGGACAAGCCCAUAUUAAGUGGGAGAUGUUCAAUAUCAACCCUAUGAGAGGCAGCAAAUGUGGAAAUGGACGCAAGUCAAGGACAGCUGCAGACAGCAAAAUAUUGAAACUGAUACAACGAUUGUGCUGAAUCACCGAAGAUAUGAGCCAGAGUGCGAACAGUAUACUCGUACAGUUUCGCAGAAUAAACCCCAUCUUUAUGCGUUCAGAGCAGCUGGAUGUUCACUGUUUACUUGGCAAGAAGUAGUAUGUAUGCAUGCUUCCUGCCACAGCUAUGUGCUGUCCCACACUUUGUGGGAAACACUGAAUUCUGCAU